rnacentral:tRNA from 1 species
GCUGCGGUGGCCGAGUGGUUAAGGCGUUGGACUCGAAAUCCAAUGGGAUAUUCCCGCGCAGGUUCGAAUCCUGUUCGCAGCG